rnacentral:snoRNA from 1 species
GAAGUGAAGUAAACCUCCCCAUAUACACCUCAGCCCAGGACCUGUGCCUGAUCUGUAUUGAGAAUGUGAAGACACAG